GCUAACUGUGGGAGGGCGGCAGGGGGAGUACGAAGGGUGUAAGCGGUAAUCGGAAUUGCUGUGCGUAGAGCGUGCGUAGGGGGUUCUGUAAGGCGGCUGUGAAAGCCCCGGGCUCAACCGGGGAAUGGCAGUGGAUACUGGAGAGCUAGGGUGUGAUAGAGGAUGGUGGAAUGCCCGGUGUAGCGGUGAAAUGCGUAGAGAUCGGGAGGAACAUCAGUGGCGAAGGCGGCCAUCUGGAUCAACACUGACGCUGAGGCACGAAAGCGUGGGGAGCAAACAGGAUUAGAACCCGGUAGUC
rnacentral:rRNA from 1 species